rnacentral:tRNA from 1 species
GGGGCUGUAGCCCAGUGGCAGAGCGCUUGCCUAACAUGCAUGAGGCACUAGGUUCGAUCCUCGGCACCA